rnacentral:rRNA from 1 species
GCAACAUUACCGUCUUUGACCUCGGAUCAGGUAGGGAUACCCGCUGAACUUAAGCAUAUCAAUAAGCG